rnacentral:rRNA from 1 species
GCCCAUGGCCAUACUACCCUGAAUGCACCAAUCUUGUUUGAUUUUUGAAGUUAAGCAGGGUCCAGCCUGGUUAGCACUUGAAUGGGAGACUGCUUGGGAGUACCAGGUGCUGUACACU